rnacentral:rRNA from 1 species
CUACGGGUCGCUCCAGUGGGGGAUAUUGCACAAUGGGCGAAAGCCUGAUGCAGCAACGCCGCGUGAAGGAAGACGGAUUUCGGUCUGUAAACUUCUAUCAGCUGGGAAGAAAAUGACGGUACCAGACUAAGAAGCCCCGGCUAACUACGUGCCAGCAGCCGCGGUAAUACGUAGGGGGCAAGCGUUAUCCGGAUUUACUGGGUGUAAAGGGUACGUAGGCGGUCGCUUAAGUCAGAUGUGAAAGCCCGAAGCUCAACUUCGGGACUGCAUUUGAAACUGGGUGACUAGAGUACAGGAGAGGAAAGCGGAAUUCCUAGUGUAGCGGUGAAAUGCGUAGAUAUUAGGAAGAACACCAGUGGCGAAGGCGGCUUUCUGGACUGUAACUGACGCUGAGGUACGAAAGCGUGGGGAGCGAACAGGAUUAGAUACCCCGGUAGUC